UGCCACUGUACUCCAGCCUGGGCAGCAGAGCAAGACCCUGUCUCAAAAAUAAAAAUAAAAAAUAAAAGAGACAGAGUGGUGAUUUGAACCCAGAGACUAAAGCCUCAAACCCUAUAACUAAUCUGCUUCGCACUAAUAAACAAUGAAGAGCAAUAAUAUACUUCACAUGAAUGCAGUACUUUUCAUUUGAUGAUUGCAACAGCCCAGAGUGCUAUUAUUUAUCCCCAUUUAUCAAAUAAGGAAACUGAGGCUCCACAGGGAAAGUGAUUCAAAGUCAUCUAGCUAAUAAACAGCGGCACCAGAACUUAGCCUUGGGUUUACUUACUUAAAGUCUAGAUUUCCCCCGCCCAGAAAUAGGGGCAGUGGUUGGUGACUUAUUGUGACUGAGGCUAGGUCUCAAAGUUCCUAAGAAUAAGAAUUGGAUGGGAGGUGGGGGGCAACUUUUGUGCAAGUUUCACAUUAACUUCUGGCCCCAGAUUCCUAGGGAGAGACCAGUCCAUCAGCAGGGGCCUCUCCAGCUGUACAGCUGAAUUGCCAUUUCUGGGCUGUGGGAAUUCUUUUUUGAUUCAUUAAAACCUACAGACCAAUCUCAGACACACUUCCUUGGGCUAUAACCAGCUGGAGGCAGGUGGAGCCACCUUUGACUCUUAAGAGUAGGAAAUCACUAGAAAUGGUGGUGACUGCCUGAGAAGCCCUUCACGGCUUCCCUUUGGAGCAGAUCCAGCUCCUGGCUCCUACAAACCUAGAGGGAGCCAUGCCUUUCUUCUCACAUUUCAGUUUGAUCUCACAUCUUCCUUAAGAGACACAGAGGCAGAAAUCGUUAACUUCUCUUUUUCUUCACCAGAAGAAGCUCCUUAAAAUAGAUUUAUGCAAAUCCCACAACCUUUUCUGUAUUAACAUGUAAAAAACAGAGGAAGAAAGAAGAUCCCAGGUCACUUGGUACUUUAAACAACAACCACCAUAUAUAACCAAAGCUCACCAUGUUGCUGGCAGAGCCCAUGACAUUCGUUUUGGUGUUUUGUGAUUGCGCUAGGCUCAAAAGACCCAGAUUCCACUUUUGGCCCCACCACUUACUGGCAACAUGACCUAGGGCUAGUUAUUUCAUCUCUGUAAGUUUCAGUUUCCUCACUCCUCGGUAAGUUUGUGAACUCUAAGGGGCUAUAUGUAUGCGAGAUGUAGUUUAAUUUAAAAAUUUCUGGGACAGAACAAAACAUGCUGCUGACCUACAGUAGAAUUAUUCUUCUAAACCAAAUGAAAGAAUAUUAGCAGUUAUACCCAUUUGAUUUUCAGUGCUAUGUGACCUGAAAUAGUUGGUCAGCUACAAGUGAAAUCUCAGCCACAAACAUUCCCCCAGGAAGCCUUCCUUCACCCUCUUCACCCUAGCCCAGCAGAGCUGGUGGUUCCUUUCCUUCUGCCCCCACAGCACCCAUCCCUUCUUCUUGAGCUUCAUCUCUGUCUUGCAAACUUCUCUUCAUUAUAUUCCCCCUUUACCUUGAGAAUGGGGAUUUUGUCUUCCCUUUCUUAUAGGCUUGGCCUCUGAUGCCAAGGUCUGCACCGCAGGGACUUAGCAGACACUUUCUGAAGGGAUUACUAAAUGAGGAAUUAUUUCAUGGCAGGGAGGAAAUCUGUCUUACCUUUAUCCAAAGAGCCAACCAUGGAGGAUCAGAGGCCUCAGUGAGCACCUGGUUAGUGCCCCUCCACCCACAAAUGAGGAAACUGAGGCUCAGGGAGGUGAGAGAACUUUUACAUUUUACUGGGUGAGGUAAUGACAAAGUUGGAACUGGAGGCCAGGACUCUGCCCAUUCCCCAUCACCGUGUGAGUUCAAGUUCUCAGUUAAAGAAGGAAUAACAAAAGUGUGGAAAUGUUACACAAUCUGAGGUGUGAUUCUGCAGGAUUGACUGUGGCAACCAGAAGUGUCAGAGACUUGCUAAAUCAUUGCCCACUUUCUUAUAUAGUACAAUAACUUUUCCCCCAGCUAACCAGCGGUGUUUCCUGUAUCCCAAGUGGAGAAAUAAUACACCUUAAAUAGACACAUGUCAUUUCACAAUCUUUGAAGGGAAGACAAAGGACAUUUCUGAACUCUUGAGCACUAGGAAGUAUGACUCCCACUCUGUCGGGUCACAGCCACUCUCAGACGUCACCUGCGAGCACUGGAAACCCCACUGGCAGCCCUUGACAGUUCAUAGAGUUCAUGAGAUCGAAGCAAGAGAGAGAGAGAAAAACCUUAGGCUCUGAAGAGUUUGUAGACGUCCAGCAAGGACCACGCAUGCGCAAGACAGCAAGUCCGGCGCAUCUGAGAGCAGCAGAACAGGGCCACGCGAAAAGCUCCUUCGGAUCUACCAGAAAGCUCCUUCCUUGGCAUUUGGGAGAAGAGUGGGUCAUAAUAAAAUGUCCGGUUUCUUUGGAAAAGUUA
rnacentral:lncRNA from 1 species